rnacentral:tRNA from 1 species
CGGCGUAUAGACAAAAUGGGUAAAGUCAUCGGUUAAAAAUCGUUUAUCUGUUCCACCCUCCACAAAACCGAAAUGUGUCGGGUUCGAAUCCCGGCUACGCCAA